UACGUAGGGCGCGAGCGUUGUCCGGAAUUAUUGGGCGUAAAGAGCUCGUAGGCGGCCGGUUGCGUCUGCUGUGAAAUCCCGGGGCUUAACCCCGGGCGUGCAGUGGAUACGGGCCGGCUGGAGGCAGGCAGGGGAGAAUGGAAUUCCCGGUGUAGCGGUGAAAUGCGCAGAUAUCGGGAAGAACACCCGUGGCGAAGGCGGUUCUCUGGGACGGUACUGACGCUGAGGAGCGAAAGCCAGGGGAGCGAACGGG
rnacentral:rRNA from 1 species